rnacentral:rRNA from 1 species
UGGGGAAUUUUGGACAAUGGGGGCAACCCUGAUCCAGCCAUGCCGCGUGCGGGAAGAAGGCCUUCGGGUUGUAAACCGCUUUCGGACGGAAAGAAAUCGCAUGGGUUAAUACCCUGUGUGGAUGACGGUACCGUAAGAAGAAGCACCGGCUAACUACGUGCCAGCAGCCGCGGUAAUACGUAGGGUGCGAGCGUUAAUCGGAAUUACUGGGCGUAAAGCGUGCGCAGGCGGUUUCUUAAGCCAGACGUGAAAUCCCCGGGCUUAACCUGGGAACUGCGUUUGGAACUGGGAGACUAGAGUGUGUCAGAGGGAGGUGGAAUUCCGCGUGUAGCAGUGAAAUGCGUAGAUAUGCGGAGGAACACCGAUGGCGAAGGCAGCCUCCUGGGAUGACACUGACGCUCAUGCACGAAAGCGUGGGGAGCAAACAGG